rnacentral:lncRNA from 1 species
UUACUUUUUACAUUUAAAAACAUUAAUAGACCUGAAUGUACAUUCUUUUAAUGUGUUCUUCUAAGUAUUCUUUCAUGUUGCUGGUUUUUUUUUUCUAUACACCUUAUCGCUAUUUUUCCGCCAUUUCUGGAUAUCACAUAGGUUCCCGUAAAAUUUUGAUGUCAUAAAACAAAAUAUCUGACGCCACAAUGGAAAAGUGAUUGUUGUUUGCGUAAAAAGCUCAAGCGGCCGGGUCAGCCGUGAUUAGUAAUAAGGUGUAUUAUGCAAUAGACCACUUUCAAGUUCAUCCGUCACCGGAAAAAUCUCGUCAAUUAUGCGCCUUUAUGACGUCAUUUACCAGAUAGAGGGGGUCGCCUGUAUCCCUGCAAUAUUAACGUUCAUCAAGCGUCUUAUUGAUCGUCUUUGUGAAGAAUAACCUAGAAAUAAUGUUUGUUUUGUAAGUACUUAACCACACAAUUCCCUAAUGACAGCAGUGCUGAUUGUCAAUUACGAGAUUUUAAUUUGCCGAAUGAUUCUUGCAAAAUAGUGUUAUAGUUUUCCAACCACUCGCUCAACAUUUGGAUGGAAGUGACGAUGCCCCUAAACGCACGAAUGAUGUUCACUAAAACCAGAGUUUUUGACGGUCCAGAUGCAUCGAACUCGAAAGUUGUCUGUUAAUGCAAACUUUUAUCCGUAUUAUUACAAUCCUUGCAUGAUCAUAUUAUAUUUAAUUUAAUCUUUAGUUAUCGUAAUGUCAAUUGUUUGUAUUACUUUUAUGUUUUGUAGAAAACGUGAAGUAUACUAAAUUUUAAUCGGAGUGAGCAUAAUUAUGUAUGCUACAUGCCUUUUCUUCCAAAGAAGGUACAUACAUGUAAUAUCUUAAUUCAUUGACUUUCGUCCAGUUUACAAUUUUGUGAUUGAUUUUUACUGUUUUUAUUAUUGUUGUUUUUAUUGUUUUAGAUCAUACAAUAUAAAGCUUUGUUAUGUAAUUAAUGCGUUUAAUUGGGUAAAGAACGAAUAAAAU